rnacentral:rRNA from 1 species
GACGAACGCUGGCGGCGUGCCUAAUACAUGCAAGUAGAACGCACAGUUUAUACCGUAGCUUGCUACACCAUAAACUGUGAGUUGCGAACGGGUGAGUAACGCGUAGGUAACCUGCCUGGUAGCGGGGGAUAACUAUUGGAAACGAUAGCUAAUACCGCAUAAUAUUAAUUAUUGCAUGAUAAUUGAUUGAAAGAUUCACUUGCAUCACUACCAGAUGGACCUGCGUUGUAUUAGCUAGUAGGUGAGGUAACGGCUCACCUAGGCGACGAUACAUAGCCGACCUGAGAGGGUGAUCGGCCACACUGGGACUGAGACACGGCCCAGACUCCUACGGGAGGCAGCAGUAGGGAAUCUUCGGCAAUGGACGAAAGUCUGACCGAGCAACGCCGCGGGAGUGAAGAAGGUUUUCGGAUCGUAAAGCUCUGUUGUAAGAGAAGAACGGGUGUGAGAGUGGAAAGUUCACACUGUGACGGUAUCUUACCAGAAAGGGACGGCUAACUACGUG